GCAGCAACUAACAACCACGACCCAUUACCAAGAGUGAAGACACCUGGAAAGAAGUUGUCGUCACUAAGAGUGUCUUCCGGAAGGCUGCUGGUCUGCGAUGGAGAAAACUGAGACUCAAAGAGAUUUAUUUUCCUUCCCAACACAGUGGUAAAAUGGGCAGAAAUGAAAGGAGCCUGCAGGUUGAACCCAGCAAUCUCUGUUACAAGAAUGCCUACCCUUUGGCCCAUGCCACCCAUUUUCCUGUCUCUGUCAGAAUGCUAUUCAUCCUGCCUCUAGCACCAAGGAGCCUAACAUAAAGUAGAUAUCCUGGGAGGGAGUCAGACUGACUGCGGCCCACCCACUCUGACCUCCCAUCCAUCCGCAUGCUGACAUCUCGGAUCAAGUUCCCUAAGAAGCCACUUUGAAACUCUUUUCUCACAAGGCUGGGGAAUUUAGCUCCAUCUAAAGUAGGGGUUAUUCCAAUCCAAAAAUGGGCAGAAGACCUAAAUAGACAUUUCUCCAAAGAAGACAUACAGAUGACCAAGAAGCACAUGAAAAGCUGCUCAACAUCACUAAUUAUUAGAGAAAUGCAAAUCAAAACUACAAUGAGGGCUUCCCUGGUGGCACAGUGGUUGAGAAUCCGCCUGCCGAUGCAGGGGACACGGGUUCGUGUCCCGGUCUGGGAAGAUCCCACGUGCCGCAGAGCGGCUGGGCCCGUGAGCCGUGGCCGCUGAGCCUGUGCAUCCGGAGCCUGUGCUCCGCAACGGGAGAGGCCACAGCAGUGAGAGGCCCGCGUACCGCAAAAAAAAAAAAAAAAAAAAAAAACUACAAUGAGGUAUCACCUCACACCAGUUAGAAUGGGCAUCAUCAGAAAAUCUACAAACAACAAAUGCUGGAGAGGGUGUGGAGAAAAGAGAACCCUCUUGCACUGUUGGCAGGAAUGUAAAUUGAUACAGCCACUAUGGAGAACAGUAUGGAGGUUCCUCAAAAAACUAAAAAUAGAAUUACCAUAUGACCCAGCAAUCCCACUACUGGUCAUAUACCCAGAGAAAACUAUAGUUCUAAAAGACAUAUGUACCCCAGUGUUCAUUGCAGCACUAUUUACAAUAGCCAGGCCAUGGAAGCAACCUAAAUGCCCAUCGACAAACGAAUGGAUAAAGAAGAAGUGGUACAUAUAUACAAUGGAAUAUUACUCAGCCAUAAAAAGGAAUGGAAUUGGGUCAUUUGUAGAGAUGUGGAUGAAUCUAGAGACUGUCAUACAGAGUGAAGUAAGUCAGAAAGAGAAAAACAAAUAUCGUAUAUUAACACAUAUAUGUGGAACCUAGAAAAAUGGUACAGAUGAACUGGUUUGCAGGGCAGAAAUUGAGACACAGAUGUAGAGAACAAACGUAUGGACACCAAGGGGGGAAAGUGGUGGGGGGGAUGGUGGUGUGCUGAAUUGGGCAAUUGGGAUUGACCUGUAUACACUGAUGUGUAUAAAAUUGAUGACUAAUAAGAA